rnacentral:rRNA from 1 species
GACGAACGCUGGCGGCGUGCCUAAUACAUGCAAGUCGAGCGAGCUUGCCUAGAUGAAUUUGGUGCUUGCACCAAAUGAAACUAGAUACAAGCGAGCGGCGGACGGGUGAGUAACACGUGGGUAACCUGCCCAAGAGACUGGGAUAACACCUGGAAACAGAUGCUAAUACCGGAUAACAACACUAGACGCAUGUCUAGAGUUUAAAAGAUGGUUCUGCUAUCACUCUUGGAUGGACCUGCGGUGCAUUAGCUAGUUGGUAAGGUAACGGCUUACCAAGGCAAUGAUGCAUAGCCGAGUUGAGAGACUGAUCGGCCACAUUGGGACUGAGACACGGCCCCAACUCCUACGGGAGGCAGCAGUAGGGAAUCUUCCACAAUGGACGCAAGUCUGAUGGAGCAACGCCGCGUGAGUGAAGAAGGGUUUCGGCUCGUAAAGCUCUGUUGGUAGUGAAGAAAGAUACGAGGUAGUAAUCUGGCCUUAGU